rnacentral:rRNA from 1 species
GACGUAGGGCGCGAGCGUUGUCCGGAUUUAUUGGGCGUAAAGAGCUCGUAGGCGGCUUGUCGCGUCGUCCGUGAAAACCUGCGGCUCAACUGCAGGCUGGCGGUCGAUACGGGCAGGCUGGAGUUCGGUAGGGGAGACUGGAAUUCCUGGUGUAGCGGUGAAAUGCGUAGAUAUCAGGAGGAACACCGGUGGUGUAGACGGCCCUCUGGACCGUAACUGACGCUGAGACACGAAAGCGUGGGUAGCAAACAGG